GGUCCAACAACAUAGCCUGCUACAGCAGGAAGACAUGCAAAUGAGGCUUCUCUGUGCCCAUGAAAAACAGCCCUGCCCUGACCCUGCAGCUCUGGCAGAGGAGCUCAGCCCUGGAUUCCCAGAUCCUCCCAUUCAGUGAUCACCACUGAACACAGACCACUCACCAUGGACUUGGGGAUCAGCUUGGUUUUCUUUGUCUUGAUUUUAAAAGGAAUCCAUUGUGAGAUGCAGCUGGUGGAGUCUGGGGGAGGCUUGGUACAGCCUGGAAAGUCCAUGAAACUCUCCUGUGUAGCCUCUGGAUUCACAUUUAGUAACUCCUGGAUGAACUGGUUCAGCCAGACUCAAGGCAAGGGGCUGGAGUGGGUUGCCUCCAUUAAUCCUAAUAGUGGCACCUACUAUGCCAAUGCCUUGAAGGGCCGAUUCACCAUCUCCAGAGACAAUGCCAAGAACACCCUGUACCUGGACAUGAACAGUCUGAGGUCUGAGGACACAGCCACAUAUUACUGUGCUACAGACACAGUGAGUGAGUGACACUGAGAACUCAGACUCAAACCUCCCUGCAGGGAGCUGAUGACCAGCAGGGGGCGCUGAGAGCACACAGAGCUCUGAGUGACAGAGAGUUACAGCCUGUUCAGAGUCCUGAAGGAC